CCAUUGGCCAACCCGAGGACUUCACGGGAGAGUUGGCGGGCGCUGAUUGGAGGAGGUGGUGAGCGGCGGGUUUCUCCGCCUCCCUCGGCCGCCAUUUUUGUUAAGGGAAAGUUCCCAUGGCGGGCUCGGUGCCGGCGCCAUCUUGUGGAAGGGCAGAUCCUCGCACCUCAGGGCGGCGGGCUGCGCUGUAACGUUCGGUGUGAGGGAAGAUGGAAGAGGAAACGUUUAUAUGUUAUAAAACACAGCACAGAGCUGCGGGAAUGAAUGGCUGUGGGAUAGAGACUGCUGUGUAUUAGAACUGGAUUUAGGUCUGUGUGGAGGGGACGGCAGAGGACGUGAGGGAAAGGCCGCAGAUGUUGUGGAGUGUGUGUGAAUUACAUCGUGUAUCUGACAUUUAAACACCAUCAGGUGCUGCCCUGAGGCACCACAGCACAGCAGAGCUGGGUAUGGAACACGGUGUUACCUUCCAGAUACAUAGAGCUGAUAGUACUUAAUACGUGAUCACAUAUUGUGUGGUUACUUAAUACGUGAUCGCUGAGGUAUCGUGUGGUUCUUGUGAGGGUCACUUUAAUGGCUGCGGGGAUGAAGGAGAUGUGCAGGGUUUAGUGUUAAGCCUCUUGGAUGCUGAUAGUGCUGCUUAAGUGCUAAGGAGCAAAAUGCACAGGGCGUGUGAGGACCCUGCUGGGCUCAGCUGGGACACGCUGUGAUGGCUGAUUGUUGCAGCUGUGGGGAAGGCCAGCAGGAGGAAAAAGGGCUGAUAAUACUCUGUAAUAUAUUAUUUAUACCCGAUUUGGGGCUUCAUCGCUGGAAGGCAGCAGUCAAACUCUCCCAAAGCUGCAGCCAUUGUACAGGUACGGUACAAAGCCACGUUGUGCUACAGAUGAGCGGCUAUUAAUGGUUCACACACAGACAGCAAAGAAACUGGGAUCUGAGACAGCUGGUUCUGCUCAGUCACUCAAAUCCAGCUGCAUGAAUGGCAGGGACAGGUGCUCCUGAGCCUGUUUUCUUAAGCUGGUUCUAGGAAUAAAGGCACGUUUGUAACAGUGGCUGAAUCUUUAUGGGCCGGGUUAUCUUGUUGCCUUUGCUUUCUCCUCUCACCAACUUUUGUGUAACUCAGUAUCAGUUUCAUUACAGCCAGAUACAGAAACAGCCCAGGGCCGGUUUCCAUUACACUUCUUUAUAUUUUACAGCUAAAUGUCUUCUGGGAUGAGGUUCAUAACUUCGUCAGGACAAAGCAGGGUGGAUGGGCUGCUUGUUUUGUCUCCUGCACCCUGACCUGGUUUAUUAGUUGUAAUGGGAGGUGUCUGACUUUGAGAUUAAUCAUACAUAGCAGUGAUGACAGAUUUUAAUUUCCAAAUCCCGUUUUCCUGUUUUUAAUCACUGCUCUUUCAUAUCCAUUCUGUUAAAAUGAUCGGUAUUAAAACUGAGAAAUGAAAUCACCGCCCAGACAUCUUGCCAUUGCCAUAAACAGACAAACUCAGCAGCCACUCAGCCAGCAUUGGUUGGGAGCAGUGAGAUACCCAUCAAAGAAUGAACCAUGGAUUCUGCUGCUAUUUGGAGUUACUGCCUCAGAACUCUGAACAUUUGUGAUGGAUGACCAGGCAUCUCAGGCUGCUGCAUGUCAUAUAAACCACCCUAGCUGCCAGAUCUGCCCGAUGCUCACUUUGAGAGGUUGAUAUUAAAGAAGUAGAGGGUUGCCCAUGAGAGAACGCAUUGGAAACUUCCUUAACUAUACCCAACAGACACAGAGACCUUGUGGCUGCCUCCUCCCAGCCAUCCUCAGUCAAAGGAAGCCAUGUCUGCGGAGCACACUGAGGACAGCCCUGCCAGGAGGACAGCAAUGAACGUACAGCUGUACCGCUUUCAUAUCAGGUAUUAAUCUUUAAUUCCACAUCACAGCAGUCGAGUGAAUGGGUAAGGGAAAGAAACCCAAAACAAACAGCAGAUAUUUACAUCUAAAAUUCACACCACUUAUCUGUUGAUUCUGGAAACAUGCUAUCACAAUAUAUACAAUGAAGUACCUUUAGGACACUUGUACAAAUUAUUUUUUUUUCCUUUUCAAUGUGAUUUCCAUUAUAGAUAAGAUAGUUGUUCUGAUUUGAUUUGAAACAUGAAUACACAAAAGAGAAGUGGUUAGAGGUUUUUGCCUUUUUUAAAUAAGCACAGAAUGCCAGAGGUUAAAAACACAUUUACAGGGCAGAAUACCAGUCGGACGUCACAAUCUAUACAUUUUUUGCUCAAUUUCCUGUACAAAUACACAGCAUUCAAAUGGGGGUAUUUACAAAGAAGCAUGAAUAGAGGGCAUUUUAAGUAUCACUUGAUUUGUUUCCCAAAGGCUUUUGCUCUCUUCAGCCUCCCCAGUUUUGGCUGAUUCUCCCACAGCAGGGAUACGGGAUAUCCCUUACCUGAAAAAUGGUAAGCAGGCUAAAAAGUAAAUGAAGGAGGAAAGGAUGGAUAAGAAUCGUAGUUUUGCACACAGCAAUAAAACCAACCCAGCCACUGAAAAAAAUGGGUAGGAUCCAGACAACAAUUGUAACUGCUUUUCUUCUCGUUUCUGUUCCAGAUGGGGCCAGCAGGUAACGCUCGUGAUGGAGAGAUGUGCUGCAGAAUUCCACCGGUUGUUUCAGGUAUGCACAUGCUAUUCUGUUACGCAAAGAAAACCCAAGGAAGGCGAGGAUGCAUUACGUCUGAAUCAGAGUUAAGUGCAGAACAAACGGGUCCUGUUCAAAGCAUCCCGUUACUGUGGUUUGUACAAAGAAUCUUCAAAUCCUGUUGCACCAGUGCAACAAACUGCUGUUGCUUCCACCUGCUCCAGGACUGAGCUUACUGAUGGCCUUGCACUAUGCUAGAAAGCCACCCCACCCUCCAGAGAAGGAUUAGUUCCACAAAGUAUUUGUUCCAGCAUUCACAAAACCUAACAGCAGUCCAUCUUCCACACCCUUUACAUUAAGCACUGAAAAGGGCGACAGGAUGCGCAGUAGAUAUCAGAAUGACAGAAAUUUCACUCCACGGAGGCUCAAAUUUAGUAAAUUCAGUAAUUUAUUCCAUCCUCCUUUGUGCGCACCUGCCAUAAAGCGGGUAUCUGUACACACCAUUGUCUUCAACCCCCUACAAACAGGCAGUUAUGGCAGACACUCAGAAUGGUCAGACUGCUGCCGUACAGCCCCUCUAAUCAGAGCGAGGUGCUGCACUGUGUGGGACUGAUGGGAGCUCCAGGGAAGGCCUUCCAGCUGAUUGGGUCUUUGCCCCGUGUUACUUGCUUUCACACUCUUAUUUGCAGAACCUGCUGGUUGUUGUUGUUGUUGUUAAUAUACAAUGAGGAAUUUCAGUGUAUCAUUCACUACUUUCAACCUUCCCAUCAAAAAAGAAAAAAAGAAAGAACCCCCAAAAGCAACCAAACCCAAACAUGGUCAGGGAGAUGGAACGGAGUACUUCAUUCUCUCAAAAAUUCCUAAGAACCUCAAAAUACAGAACAACAUGAAAAUAUUUCACUCACUUCUAAGGAAUUACCUUGACUUACCUUCAUUGAAAACGUAACUCUGAAUUGAGCUUUUUGUACCUGUGUGCUAUAGCAGAGACCUGGCCUGGUUCACUAACAGUUAGGGCGGUUCUACUCCUCUUAGAGAUGAAAUGUCCACCUUAUGCCGCUUUUUAACAUCAUUCUCCUCUUAACUGUGAAGGUUGUAGGGAUUACAAGCAGCCUAUGUUAUGUUAGUAACAAAGCAGAGGAAGCACAAGAGACUUUGUUCCAGCCAAAUGGGCCAUUUAAGAAACAAAACCGUAAUUUAUUACUUUUGUAUGGGCUGGAGCUCGAGAAAGGAAAGAAAGAAAUCCUCUUAAAAUCCCCUUCGUACGACAGCUGACCAAGCCCAGGCUUUGUACAGACGGACCAUCUUGAGGAGUUCAGAAGCAAUGUACUCUGCCCAGUCACUGUAGUCAGAGGUAGUGCUAAAGGUGACCUGUAAAAGAUGUGGAUCCUUUUCUGCUUCUUUAAGCUGUUUGUAGCAAAAGAAACUGAGUGUCUAGGGGAAGAACAGGGCACGUUGAUGCCAUUCCUAUUUCUGACCCUAAUUUACAUGGUGGAGGUAAGUCUUUUGUUUGAAUGUGCUUCAGGUUUUUCAGUGGUAACUUACCAUCAUCUGGAGUGUGCUUUGCAGUCUAUGGGUGGAAAUGAACGUAAGGGAAGGCCAAAAUGUGUGCGGGCAUGGCAGCAGGAAAAAGCAUUACUUACUGUACUUAAACACCAGAUACCUGCUCUUCUGAUCAAAAGUUUCCUGAAAAAUAUGACAAUAGGAAUAGAAGUUUUCUUCUCGUUCUUUUCACACCGCAGGUCUUGCCUCUGUUACCACAGAACUUUUUCCCUGUCCUGUAAUGUCACUCAGCUAAGCAAACACCGAUUAAAAGGCUUGUUGCACACACCUUUGUACUGACUCCACUUUCGCAUAGUUCUGUUACUUGUUUUUGUUGGUUUUUUUCCCUCUUUUCUAAAUCUCCCUCCUGCACUGAAUUCUUCAUCCCUUUCUGGAGCCCAACCAUAAAAAAAAAGGCAGGGGGAAGGCUGUAUUGCCA